GAAAUCUGCACUGAUAAAUCAAAGGCAAAAAAGAUGCCAGAUUGUGCCAGGGAGCUCGUGUUGUAGGUCAUCCAUCUGAUCCAGUGCCGUUCUGCACUGGGGACUGCCAUCCGACAGUAGGGCCAUGACCCUGGAGAGUGUAACCAUCAUCAUGGUUAUAUUAGUGUUACUGGCAUUUUAAAAGACAUCCUGGAACAUUCCUUUGGAGCUUCAUAGCAGUCUAAUGAGCAGAACAGGGCCAGCACAUUAAGGUAAUAGAGGAGUGGAAUAAAGCAGACUGCAUCACUGUUUUCUCUAGAAAAGCAGAAAGACUGAGUGGAUGCUGUAGCUGCUGUUUUCCUUUUGCAUUCUGGAGUGGGAUCGCAGUGCAGGGAGAGUCCCCAGGAGUCAAGGAAAGCCUGGCCCAAUGAUUUAUCACAGGCCCCAUGCUGGGACCUCUCAGGAAAUCACAAGAACCUUCUGAUCAUUGGGUUGUCCAGGAGGUAACAGCUACUCCUCUUCUCUUGACUGAAGAAAUGUCUCCCUCUACCUGACAAGUGGCCUCUCUUCCCGAAUGAUACAUAGUGACUUUUGAAGAAAUAAGAAAAUACUUGCUAGCCUGUCAUAUCAGCCGAAACAACUAUGGUGAGCUGGCGAAUAUUGCAAUUACGUGAUUGUUGCUGCAUCAAUAGAAUCCCAAAGCGAUAGUCACUCGUCUUUCUCCUCCUCACUAAUCCAGCAGUCAAAUAAUCACUUAUAAGCAUUUACUGUGCAUUUACCACCAUAUAAUAUAAAAUGUGUCAAGUAGUUAGAUAUAUAAAAUAAUCUCUCAACUCUCAAUAAUUAUAAAAAACUAAGAAAUUAAGAGUUGUGCAUGUGAAAAGACAACUACACAGAGAAGAGGACAACGAACCCAUUCAGAACAUCUCUAAUACGUUAGUCACUGUGUGAGGUGCGGUCCAUGUGUUAUUUUAUCUAAUCCCUUCAACAUCUCUGAGAGGCAUCCUAGCUUCCUUCUAUGGAUGGUGACACUGGGAGUCAGAGAUGCUUAAUAACUUGCCCAAGGUCACAUAGCUAGAAAAGCAUAGACCCUAUUUUCCAGUUUAGAUGUAUCCAAUUCCAUAGGCUAUGCCUCGUUACUAAUCCUCACCUGGCAAUAAGAAAAGUCAGUGCUCAGAGAC
ensembl:lncRNA